rnacentral:tRNA from 1 species
GGGCCUAUAGCUCAGUUGGUUAGAGUAGCGGACUCAUAAUCCGUUGGUCCCUGGUUCGAGCCCAGGUGGGCCCACCA